UACGAAGGGGGCUAGCGUUGCUCGGAAUCACUGGGCGUAAAGGGCGCGUAGGCGGCCAACUAAGUCAGACGUGAAAUCCCUCGGCUCAACCGGGGAACUGCGUCUGAUACUGGAUGGCUUGAAUUCGGGAGAGGGAUGCGGAAUUCCGGGUGUAGCGGUGGAAUGCGUAGAGAUCCGGAGGAAGACCGGUGGCGAAGGCGGUCUGCUGGGCAGUUUCUGACACUGAGGCGCGACAGCGUGGGGAGCAAACAGG
rnacentral:rRNA from 1 species